AUUGAACGCUGGCGGCAGGCCUAACACAUGCAAGUCGAAUGGUAACAGGAAACAGCUUGCUGUUUCGCUGACGAGUGGCGGAUGGGUGAGUAAUGUCUGGGAAACUGCCUGAUGGAGGGGGAUAACUACUGGAAACGGUAGCUAAUACCGCAUAACGUCGCAAGACCAAAGAGGGGGACCUUCGGGCCUCUUGCCAUCAGAUGCGCCCAGAUGGGAUUAGCUAGUAGGUGGGGUAACGGCUCACCUAGGCGACGAUCCCUAGCUGGUCUGAGAGGAUGACCAGCCACACUGGAACUGAGACACGGUCCAGACUCCUACGGGAGGCAGCAGUGGGGAAUAUUGCACAAUGGGCGCAAGCCUGAUGCAGCCAUGCCGCGUGUAUGAAGAAGGCCUUCGGGUUGUAAAGUACUUUCAGCGGGGAGGAAGGGAGUAAAGUUAAUACCUUUGCUCAUUGACGUUACCCGCAGAAGAAGCACCGGCUAACUCCGUG
rnacentral:rRNA from 1 species